UACGGAGGAUGCAAGCGUUAUCCGGAAUUAUUGGGCGUAAAGCGUCCGCAGGUGGUUAUCCAAGUCUGCUGUCAAAGCGUCUGGCUCAACCAGAUAAAGGCAGUGGAAACUACAUAGCUAGAGUAAGGUAGGGGUAGAGGGAAUUCCUGGUGUAGCGGUGAAAUGCGUAGAGAUCAGGAAGAACACCGGUGGCGAAAGCGCUCUGCUAGGCCGCAACUGACACUGAGGGACGAAAGCUAGGGGAGCGAAUGGG
rnacentral:rRNA from 1 species